ensembl:lncRNA
UUUUCUUUAUUGUGCUAUUUCUCUUCCUCACUUUGUUUAAAUUGCUUUUCAUUAUUUGAUUUUUGAUGUUUUUAAUGGCCUUUCCCCUAUUUUUUAUGUUUCGUCAGCUUGUUCUUCUUAAAUUGUCAUUGUUUCAUUAUUGAGAUGUUUCAUCUCCUUAUUUUAUUUUAUAUUGAUUUAGUUUUUUGUUUCAUUUUUUAAGAUGAUCCUUAGAUAUUGAGUAAUUUUACAAAAAUGACUUGCUUUACUGUGGCGGUCACACACUUUUCUGCAGCUUUGGCGGUGGGGUGGUGCAUGAUCCUCCUCAAUCAGUUGUGGAAAUGUUGUCACAAUAUUGUGACAGACAGAUUGUUGUGUGGCUGCACAGAGCGCCGCGGAGAGCAUGACGCCAUUUCUGGCUGCUGGCUGGCUGCUUUUUUUUGAGCCUUCGGAGAAAGUGAGGGAUUGAUCAGUGCAGAGGGGAAGUGGAGCUGAGAUGAAGAGAGGGAGGGAGGGAAGGAGAGAGUCGGAGGGGAGGGCAGGUGGGGGGGAAUCGCUCUCGCUGCAGAAUCUGCCGUUCGCUGGCACUCAGUCACACCGAGAGAGCGAGAGCGGGUCUCACAGACGGCCCAGGUAUGGGUACAGAGAUGGCCGGGACAGGUGUCCGGACCAGAGGAGGAUGAGCGGAUAACAAAGUCGGCACAGGUUUGAAGGUAGACAGUGUGCGUGUGUGUGUGUGAGGCACGUGGCGGCCGCUCUCAUUUCCGGGAGUGUCCACACCGUCUGGUCCCUGAGGAUGAACGAUGCUUCUUGUUUGUGGGGGGAGGAGGAGUCUUCAAGGUGUGUAUGUGUGCAUCAGAUGUGCGUUUGCAGUGUAAAUGACAUGCAUGUUUUGACUGCCGUGUGCAUUAUUGGAUUUUCUUGCAGUUAGUGUUGUGAGGAUGCAUGAUCUCGUCUGUGCUCCCAAAGUCACAAAAAAGACAACUUAUUGCAAAAGCAGCGAGGGGGAAUCGAAGGCGCUGCGUGUCUGGGUGGGUGUGGGGUGAUCUUGUGGGGAGCUGCAUAAGCCGUUUUCUGCUAAUUUUGCCCCAAUGCCAGUUCACCGGCUCUUGAACGUGGCUGAUCAGUUGCUGCUACAUGUUUUUCGAUGUAAUGGAGUCAGUGGCGGGAGACGAGACGGAGACAGACAGACACACACACACACAUACAGACGCUCAUGUCUGAAGCUGCAGUCAGAGGC